AUUUUUGAGGAAAAAGUGUUGGUUCUUUGGCAAUGAUUUGCUGUUGUUUAGGGAUUUUGUGAUCAAAUUUUUUGAACGUUUUGUUAUUGCCGUUGCAACGGAAGGUGACCAUCGCUUUUAGUGGUUUUGGGCUGCAUAGGUUAAUUUCAUAAACGUUACCAUAGCAACGCUCUUCUGGGAUACCUGCUAUGUACAUGAAUUACCACGUGGCACAGUUAUAACCUCGAUGUGAGACUGCGGUGCAUAUCGUAAUGUAUUAUUUAAUUACGCAAAGUUGGCACUACCAAGCUGACAAAUGUGCAGAGUCCUGAGGUGGGACGAUGAUGACGGCGUUACCAUGAUCAUAUCCGUCUGCGGUUGGUCGACCAUUAUUUUAUAGAACUAAUAUGUAUACACAAAAGACGAAUGCAGAAGUAUCCAUGGAAAUGGAAAAAUUGGCUGUUUCGUGUCACUUUGACAUUACCAUAGCAACGUCACUGUCAAUGAAUUGCAAAGGGACGUCAGUACUCUUCAAGGCCAAGAAUGUUACUGAGAUAUAUUGUUAAAAUGGAACCUACGUCUGUAUUUCCCAUAAGAUUUUGUUUUUAACUUGGUAAAGAAUUUUGCAGAAGCAAAUAAAUUCUGUAACUAGAAGACCAGUAAGUUAUCAACACUAUGCACAUGCCAACUCGCACACAAAAAUUUACUUGAGAUUGCUAGGUUACAGGCUGAAAUUGCGAUGGCAGUAUUCGUAACAGAUGAACAAUAAAUAACCAGAGAAGGGCAUGGAAGAACGAUGCAGUAACAAAGAAAUUACAUCAAAAUGGCAUUUCAGUAAACUUAUCCUGUUUGGCCAAAGAACGGUGCAUUCACAUAACUGAUAAUUUCAAAUUGCUUGAUUCACCACUGAUGUAUCGUCGGAAGCGCCGAUUUGAAGUAGAGUACACUUACGCUGUUGUAAGUGGCAAAACAGUCCUUGAUUUUACUCUGUAAGUAUUUCUGGGUGCCUGUCUAAAUUUCCCUUAACUGACAACCUUUAUUUUCAUGAAUCAGAAUAAACCAUUGUUUUUUGCAUUUCAAAGGCCACCUAUUAGUUUCACUCUUCGCUCGUCUAAAUACUACUGAAGAUUUCAGUCCGUACCGCGAAGAAAACACAACGCCUUACCAUUACAAGGAUAAAACAGUUAACGCUGUUUAAGUCAAUAAUCACUGUUUAUAGUGAGAAUCGUAAGAAACACAUGAAUACAAAAUGCAGAGCGACAGACUGUUAAAGCAUGUGGUACAUAUAAUUACCACUUCGCUUUAAAGGGUUAAUCUUGUCCGUCCACAAGUAACAUUGUCCUACCUCACAGAUAUUGACCAAAAGCGAUCUGGAAUACCUGCACAAAAUCUUCCAUUUUGAGAGUUUAAGCGCUUAUGUGUCUUUUAAUUUAAGCCUUUUGGCAAAUAAAUGAUCAUACUCGAUGCA